rnacentral:rRNA from 7 species
CGACUCUCGACAACGGAUAUCUAGGCUCUCGCAUCGAUGAAGAACGUAGCAAAAUGCGAUACUUGGUGUGAAUUGCAGAAUCCCGUGAAUCAUCGAGUUUUUGAACGCAAGUUGCGCCCAAAGUCAUUAGGCUGAGGGCACGUCUGCCUGGGUGUCACG